GGGGAUGUAGCUCAAUGGCAGAGUACAUGCUUUGCAUGCAAAAGGUCCCAGGUUCAAUUUAUGGCUUCUCCA